CAGGAGAGGGAGGGGGAGAACGCCCAGAGUGCUGCAGGAGGUGAGGUUUCCCAGGGAGAGAAAUCAAGAGAUUUCAUCAGCCUGUGCUGGGAGUAAUCUGGCUGUUCUGGGAUGCCAUCCGGGCGUGCUGGGGCGGUUUAGGAAGCCAUCUAGCUGUAAUUCCCUGCCAGUUGUCUGACUUCCCUUAAAAGGAUCCAUCCAGCAUUGCUCAAGGAUUGAUCCUCCACUAGCACAACUCCCAGGUGUCGUUUCCCAGGCAAGAGAGGAGUCGGGGAUGCAUCUUUAUGCAAACCCCACCAAGACAGGCUGGUGGAGGUGCUCGAGGAAGCAGCACAAACUCCAAGAUCAUCCGAGCCUCUCUGGGAUCAUCUGCCGCGUCAUCCCCUGCCACGCCAGCGCACGGCACUGCCUGCACAAGUGGAGUUUCUCCAGGGGCUGUGGAUCGGGAUUCAGCCUCACCUGGCAGCUGGGCGAGCUCGGAGCUGGACUGUGGCACCAAACACUUCCAGAGCGGCCGGGAGCCAGAGCCGCCGGGCAGGGGAGCGCUUGGGAUCAGGGGCUGGACCUCGGGAGAGCAGCGGGAGCCACUGGGAUGGCCGUGGGGAAGGGGGUCCCUACCUGAGUCCUGUUCAGUUGGCACUUUGUGCGGACAACGAAAAUCAAAACGAUGACGACCACAGUGCUGACCACGGUGAGGAGGAUCCACACGUCGUAGUCUGGCUGUUGGAUAAAACAGGAGAGAAAUUACUCUUGUGUGGCAGACUUGGGAAUAAGAGGCUUGGCAGGGGUCUCCCAAUCUCUUCUGGCCCAUCAGCCUUUGAGCACAAGGCCAAGUUCUACCUCUUUGCUCUUUACAGGAAAAGGAAAAAAGGGUUUGGCCUUUUUUUUGGACAUCCCACCAAGAAUGGAAAAUCUCUGUCUUGCAGCAUCUCAGCUCCCCCAGUGCCACGGUCUAAGGCAGCAUAAGAUGAGAAAACCAAGGCUUGGUCUCCCCUGAAGAGACAGAGAACCUCCUCACCUCACUCGUGGCGUUGGAGCAAAAGACACUAAAUAAGCUGAAGGUGCUUUUGAGCCUUUAUUUGCAGCAGGUCAUCUGAAUGCUACAGACAGCUCCUGCCAAGGGCUCUGAUCUCUGUCCCUUGGGAGCAAAGCUCUGGGAAAGCCCUGUGCUGUGGCUUGGGAGGGAGGAUGUGGGAGGCAGUGGGAAUGGUGUGUGUCUCACCCAGGCUGGUGGCUCCUUGACCUCUAUCUUCACAUGGGCCUCUCUGUUCUUGUUCACGACGCUCAUGAGCUGCUCGGCGUCGUGGCCCCUGAUCAGAACCACGGGCUGGCUCAGGCCUCUGGGCUUCCUCAGCUGCAAAGGAACAAACACAGUGAGAGCUGGUCCAGAACAGCCUGGAAAAGGACAAUCCUGGUCCCCCAGGCAUGUCUGAUCCUCCUGAUGCUUCUUGCACACACUUCAGAGACUGACUGCUCCCCCAGAUCUGUACUGUCUCUCUAGGAUGAAUAUGAAUUAGACUGAAGCUCCUCCUCUUGUACCAACUCUCCAGCAUUGGGAAAAUACUCAAUUUUCCCUGCUGGUGACUCCUCAUGCCCAGCUGGACACUGCUUGGUGUCUCUUGAGCUCCUCUUCAAGCCCCUGUGCAAAAGUUCUUUGUGUCUCCUCUCCCCUGUGGGAACUGCCAACAGCACUGCCGAGUGCUGCCUUCCCACAGAAAUGCUUCCUCUGCUCUUCCUGUGAGACCCAUCCAGUUCCCCUCCUCCCUGAGGACAUUCUGGUUGUUCCUGGUCCUACUGGCACGGGCUGGCUCAGCAAGUGUCCAAGCCUGCUCCCUUCCAGACUGACCUGGACUGGACCAGGGUGGUCAUCGGACCCACUGACCACUUCCCAUGCCCUGGAGGGUCCUGGGGGCACCCAGAGGUGGGUGCCUGGGUCUGGGGACAGGGAUGUGAGUGGAGGUGCAGAUGGUCGUGAAGACCACGGAGGCUGCAGGGUCUGAGUUGUUGAGAGUUGCCACUCUUGACUUUGGUAUUGCAGAUGGGGAAGCUGGGAAAGUGGGAUCAGAGGCUCAGAGGGAUCAGAGACUGGGAUCUGAGCAACCCUGGAGUCACCUCAUGGACCUGCACUCGCUGCUGCCUUUCUCUGACAUCAGAAAUUAAUCUGUAAGUGCAUAAAAGAGCCAGGAGGGAUGGAUCCAGCAAGGAGUCAGCCCAGAGUUUGGAUAAGCUCAGGCACCAGCUCCCCUGUCUGUCCUCAGUCGAAUGCUGGAUGCUUUUCAUUAUCCCUGGAACAUCUGGAUAGGGAACUGAUUCCAUUCCAGAGAUGACAGCAAUGCUGGGGGAAGAGACCUUUGGAGGUCUCUAAACCUGCACCAAGAGUGUUGCAGGGAGGGCUGUGACUUGGGCUUGAAAACUUGAGAAGUCACCUUUCCCUAGAGGUAAACUGGGCUGUCUGGAGUAGAUGAAAUUAGGAAAUCCAUGCCUUCCCAAGAGGAAGGCAUCCAGCUCCGGGCAGAAAAGCUCAACUGACCAGAUAAUGUCCUCUGAGAGUGCAGAUGUGCCCUGGAGUGAAGGAAAGAGGAACCAACUCUUCAUGGGUGAGUGGGGUGAGAGCCAACAUCCAACACCAGCUGGGACCUGGGACUUUCUGCUGGUGGCUGGUGGGUCCUGAUGGACACAUUUUGGGAUGGGACAGGAGCACUGUGGUUUAGCUGAGAGUAUUAAUGGGGUCUGUACCUGAUCAGCAGCACUUUCAUCGUCAGUAAUAUCGAAAAGGAUCGCACGGGCUCCACGCUCCCCCGCCAGCUUCGCCUGUCCAAAACAACAGAAGCUUCAGCGGACGCUCUGCACUGUCCCCUGUGUCAACAACCACCAUUUGGAUCCAUGUCUGCCUCCCAGGUUCUUUGCAGGGAAAGAAGCACCUGCUUAGACUGAGGAAACCAUUUGAUUCCUGUGCUUGUGUUGGGCUGCAGUGCCUGCUCCUGCCAGAGCUCUGGGGCUCCUUCUCCCUAUGGUUGUGGAGAUGAAUUAGUUGGUGGCCUUGCAAUCACAGCAGGGCACAAACCUAAACAUUCCCCAGCUGCCUGUGCCAUGUGCUCCUUUGCUUCAGAGUUGGAUUUGCUGGGGAGGGAUCUGCUGACCUACACAACCUUCCCAUCCCAGGACAGUAGAAUCCUCCACGUCCCACCUCUCACCGUGGGGCAUUUCAGUGCCCUCCUUUGGAUGGCCCUGGGCUGUGUGAGGGCCUGACUCCCACACACGCUGCUCUCCCUGGUCCCUGACCCUGCACUCCUCAGGGAGCAGCUCAGGCAGUGCCCGGGCUGCAGAUCUGCUCUCGGAUGAGGAGCGGGAUGGAUUUCCACAGCUCAGCUUAAAGACCCACCCAUCUGAGCUCACAUGCCACCCUGGUGAGGUAAAGCUCACUGCCUGGGGACCUCGUGGGGUCACCCACCUCCUCCCAGCCGGCCCUGGGAGCCCUCUGGGCAGGCAGAGGCAGCCUGAGGAGAUGGAACGUGAACAGAACGCAGGGCUGGGCUGCUCUUACUCAGGCGGAGCCCUUUGAUCCUGCGUCCCGAGCCUGUGCAAACAGGGAGCAGUUCACCCUCUGCAGGGCCAAACCCCAGCUCUGGGGCCAGAGGUCAGAGCUGCUGCUUCCCAGCUGCAAUAUCAAACACAGGGAGCUGGCUGGGCCCAGGGAUGGGGCAUUCCCGGCAUGGAGAGCGGCAGCUGAGCGGGAUCUGCUCCAUCCCUCACACAGUCACAGAGUCACAGGAUGUGCUGAGCUGGGAGGGACCCCCAAGGAUC